rnacentral:tRNA from 3 species
GCCAGCGUAGCUCAGCAGGUAGAGCAACUGACUUGUAAUCAGUAGGUCGCGGGUUCGAUUCCUGUCGCUGGCUCCA